UGGAUUUGGGUAGGGGGCGCCGGUCCGCUUCGGUGUGCACUGGCGGCCCAUACCUUCUUGUCGGGGAUGCGCUCUGGUAUUGAUUUAUCGGACGCAGAGUCGGCGCAGUUACUUUGAAAAAAUUAGAGUGUUCAAAGCAGGCUUUCGCUUGAAUACAUUAGCAUGGAAUAACAUGAUAGGAUUCCGGUUCCACUGUGUUGGUCUUCGGGACUGGAGUAAUGAUUAAGAGGGACAGUUGGGGGCAUUCGUAUUUCAUUGUCAGAGGUGAAAUUCUUGGAUUUAUGAAAGACGAACUUCUGCGAAAGCAUUUGCCAAGGAUGUUUUCAUUAAUCAAGAACGAAAGUUGGGGGCUCGAAGAUGAUUAGAUACCAUCGUAGUCUCAACCAUAAACGAUGCCGACUAGGGAUUGGCGGAUGUUACUUGAUGACUUCGCCAGCACCUUGUGAGAAAUCAAAGUCUUUGGGUUCCGGGGGGAGUAUGGUCGCAAGGCUGAAACUUAAAGGAAUUGACGGAAGGGCACCACCAUGGCGUGGAGCCUGCGGCUUAAUUUGACUCAACACGGGGAAACUUACCAGGUCCAGACACAAUAAUGAUUGACAGAUUGAUAGCUCUUUCUUGAUUCUGUGGGUGGUGGUGCAUGGCCGUUUUUAGUUGGUGGAUUGAUUUGUCUGGUUAAUUCCG
rnacentral:rRNA from 1 species